rnacentral:rRNA from 1 species
AGAGCUUGCUCUCUUGGCGGCGAGUGGCGGACGGGUGAGUAAUAUAUCGGAACGUGCCCAGUAGCGGGGGAUAACUACUCGAAAGAGUGGCUAAUACCGCAUACGCCCUACGGGGGAAAGGGGGGGAUCGCAAGACCUCUCACUAUUGGAGCGGCCGAUAUCGGAUUAGCUAGUUGGUGGGGUAAAGGCUCACCAAGGCAACGAUCCGUAGCUGGUUUGAGAGGACGACCAGCCACACUGGGACUGAGACACGGCCCAGACUCCUACGGGAGGCAGCAGUGGGGAAUUUUGGACAAUGGGGGAAACCCUGAUCCAGCCAUCCCGCGUGUAUGAUGAAGGCCUUCGGGUUGUAAAGUACUUUUGGCAGAGAAGAAAAGGUAUCCCCUAAUACGGGAUACUGCUGACGGUAUCUGCAGAAUAAGCACCGGCUAACUACGUGCCAGCAGCCGCGGUAAUACGUAGGGUGCAAGCGUUAAUCGGAAUUACUGGGCGUAAAGCGUGUGUAGGCGGUUCGGAAAGAAAGAUGUGAAAUCCCAGGGCUCAACCUUGGAACUGCAUUUUUAACUGCCGAGCUAGAGUAUGUCAGAGGGGGGUAGAAUUCCACGUGUAGCAGUGAAAUG